rfam:Mus musculus chromosome 11, GRC primary reference assembly.
CAGUGCACUCAUCCAUAAAGUAGGAAACACUACACCCUCCAGUGCUGUUAGUAGUGCUUUCUACUUUAUGGGUGACUGCACUGU